AUGACGAUCAUUCUGGCGACCGGGCCCUUUUAUGGCCGUUUUGCUAGAGUUGUUGUUUGGACAUCUCCAACAAUACAUAGAGGCAGGCUACGUGACGAACUCUCUCCAUAUUUAUGCUCUCAGACGGCGAAACUUAGGUGUGGCCGCCAUGCCCCCUUACUCGUGAAUCCUCGCAGAGCCGAUGAUCACCCGCAGUUUGUUGAUUUUAACAAGCUCAGGGAACAGUGCCCCUCUGAUGGUGACAAGGCGGUGCCAGCGGCUAUACAUCCGGCGACCAUGCGAGCGGUGCCUCCCCCGGCCAAAUUUCAUCAUGCAAGAGAACAAUCCCCUUUAUCUAUGUUUUGCUCUGCUCAUGUUCUGAUUCUGUUCAUCACCUAUCACCUGGCCAGGAAUUUGCAUAAAGUUAUGAAGUUGCUCCCCACUACAAGUCAUUCUCUCAACAUGCGGAUAGUCCACCUCAGUAUGCAUGACAUGUCAUCAGUUCAGUUACGAAACCUCAGCAUGCAUGACAUGUCAUCGGUUCAGUUACGACUAGCACUCUGCUCACGUCAUUUUUUUCCUCCUGAAACAUAUCCAUUUCAGCUCGGUGUCCAUCGACUCCCCAUCUUCUCCACGGCAGCACCUCUGAUCUUCUCCACGGAGAAGGAUCGAUCCAGAGUAACCGAUGCAGGUGCUAUAUAUUGCAAGUCCCGGUCAGUCUGGCCUCACCAAGAGAAGUGCCGGAGGAGUAAGUCGGGAGGAUUCCAGGUGAGAGAUUCUUCUUGCUGCCCGUAUAUUUUCUCCCCCAUUCCCUCCCAUGCGUCCGCCCGCAACCGUCACUGCCUCCUGUGCCCAUGGUUCCUGCAGGCAGCGGCGUGCGAGCACCCUUCACCCCCUCCCGUAUUAACAGGUUGCGGCUGCUCAGCGGGCCGGCGGCUACUUCGAUGCAAGCUGGAGGCAGCAACGGGCGAGGCGGCGGUGGCGACCAGUGAUCAUAUCAGGCAGCAAGCUAGAGACAAUGAUGAGCGAGGCGGCGACCAGGUUCCCGGCAACAAGCCGAAGGCUGCAAGGCGACGAGUCCCAGCAGGGGCUGCUAUUGCCUGCUCCGCAACAGCGUCUGUAGCGUUUGAGAUGAGCUGCCCGGAAAUAAAAUCUCCCGCGAUCAAAAGCGUUGCUGUAGAUACAUCCGAGUUGUUGCUGUCAUUGCACUCCCCCUUUCGCUCCCUCCACCGCAGCAUCAACGCGUCUUCAUAUGUUGUUCUGCUUUUUGUUGACAUUAUUCCAUCCGCAUGCAACAAGUGGCGGCAGUAUUACGCACCCGCCACAGGUGAACUGUCUUCAAGGUCCCCACUUGUGAAAACCUUUGAUGGAGGGCAGGACUUGCCGCCCGCCACAGCCCUGGUUUCUAAGCCCACGCAUGUGCAGCCGUUCACAUCUCUAACUUAUCCAAAUAUUUUUCAUCCCCAUCUCUCUCGCCUGUCACCGUCGUCCGUCGCCUUCGUCUGGGCGGCCUUGGACGUAGCCACCGUCGCGCUCGCCCUCCGGCACACCACCUUCUUUGCUGCCACAAUCGAUCUCGAGCCAGAUACCCAGCUCUGCCUGCCCCAACAAGACCUAGCGCCGCCGUCUACUACGGGGGCACAUGCGCCUAAAUGGGUGGAAAGCCUGGUUUUCCUUUGGUGGAUGCAUGUAUUUCAAGAGCCAGAAGUGAAACUGGAACUUUUUUUGGAGCCUGUACUUGAGUUUGAAGGUCUGGAUGGCCCAACUGUUCUUGAGGCGCUGGCAUGUAGUCAGGGUGUUUCCCUUGCUUUCGAUCUAGAGCUGGUCUUCGGCAAGGAGUCCGACCACUCCGUUUCGCAUGGCAGCAGCCCCACCGUGAUGCACAAGUUGCAGCGUGACCAGCCAGUAGAGGCCCCCAACACUUCGCUGGUUCAGAGAGGAACAAACACUACGUGCAACAAGUACUACAAGCAACAUACAUCCGAGCCUCUUGUCUGUCACUCCUACAAAAGAGGACGCAGGAAAAAAAAGAAAUGGGAUCCUCCUCGGCUUCGAUGCUUUUCUCAUGUACAUAAUGACAUGAGAUGCACGCACGACGUUGACCGUGCAUCACAUAAGGCCUGGAAAUACUAUACUGAAACGCAAAGACUAAACUGCCCUCUGACCCAAGCCCACCAAAACGUUAGGACCCAACAGAACAGAGCCCAACCCGCCCAAGCUCCUCUGCUGCUCCUUCCUUCUGCUCGUCCCGCCGGCCGGCGGCUGCAACGGCGACCAACGGCAGCUCUACGAAUCCGCGCAGCAUCCAUUGAGCUCUGUAGAUGGAUCUGGGUUGAUGAAUCCAUCCAGCGUCACGGCGACGGAUCCUGGCUUCCAUUCGAUGAGUCGCUUCCAUUCCUCACCCGUGCCGCCGCUGGACGACGAGGCCUGCUCCAGGAGAUCCUCCUUCUCCCUCCACUUCCAUCCUCGCUUCCCCGUGCAUCCGCUGGUACAAAAUCCUCUCUAACCCUUGGUUUCACUGCCGCUUCCGCAAACACCCGGAAACCGCCGCUCAUUGGCUUCUUUGACAAAGAAUUUGGUCGAGCCCCGGUCUUCACCCCAAUCCUGGACCCGCCAAACCGCAUCCCCGUCAGCUUCACCCUGCCAGAAAACCUCCUUGAUUGUACUGCAUGGGCCAACCUGAUCAUACAUAUGAAAUUCUCUUUCUUUGGCUGCCGACACGACAUUGCACUCUUCCUUGACCGCCCGCGCCACGAGGCUGUCUUGUGGGACCCCUACACCAACUUCCAGCGUCGUGUAGCUUUUCCAUUGGGUUUCAACAAUCAGCAAGCUAACUUCAUGAGGAGUGCUGCGGUGUUGUGUUCAGCCAGCGACGUGCAGCAUGUGCAUGGUGAUUGCCACUUUCUCCCAUUCAAACUGGCAUUGGCAUGCCAUGACGCCAAACACACAAAGGCGUUUGUUUGCAUCUAUGAAUCCAAGUCUGGCAUAUGGGAAGAUAGUAUCUCCAUAGCGACUACAGAUGUGAUUUCUAGGAACAGGCCUAGCAUAUUGGUUAGGAAUACACUUUGCUGGUUGCUUCAUGGAGGUGGUAUCCUUGAAUUUGAUUUUGAAAGGCUGACUCUUGAUGUGAUUGAGAAGCCUGCAAGUGUUGAUGCUGCCAAUUCUUACAGCGUCGACUGGUCCUUUCAGAUUACACGAGGAGGGGAUAAUGGCCCCGGCCUCGCUGUUUUGUCAAGUAACAUCUUGUCUCUUGCUAUGUUUUCAAGGCGUCGCCUAGGCGUCAGAGCGCUCGCGAACGUCAAGGCGUCGCCGUCGCUUUACGGGAACCAGCAGCUGGCGCGCGCCAGAAAGAGGAAUUGGCGGGAGGGAAGAGAAAUUGGGCGGGAGAGAGGGGGUAAACAGAGGCAGGAGAGAGAGGGGAACACACCUGUGACUCCAAAUCGAGGGGAAAAGAGAGAGGAGCUCUCUCCUCUCAGUCUCUCACGCCGCCGGCCCAGAUCCGUUCCUCCUCCGCCGGCCUCCCCCUGUCCGGCCAAGCUCCUCCUCCGCAGGCCCUUCCCCUCUCCGGCCAAGAUCCAUCUCCGCCGGCCAUCCCCCUCUCCGGCCAAGCUCCUCGGCCGCCGGCAGCCCUCUCCCAAGAAUAGUAGCUGUUUGUCCUCUGUGGCUCCACCCCAAGGUGCUCGAGGGUGUCCCGAUGACAUUUCAUGGGAGCUUGUUGAUGAGGCUGUUGGUGCAAGUUCGUCGCUGCAAGGUCGCAACUUUCCUAGAGCUAGCACCAUGGCAAGGGGGGCCUCAAAUGUUAAUGUCCAGUACCAAAGGCAGCGCAAAAGGGCUGCUCCGUCACCAACAUUUCUUCAUGAAGAUGACGAAGAGGAUGACCAAGAACAACAACCAAGUAUCCCCAAUGGAGAGGAUGAUGAUUCAGACUUUCUUCAAGAUGAUGUUGAUGUGACCGAUGAUGAUGAAGAUCCAACUAGUGCUGACCAAGAUGGCGAAGACAACACAAAUGCUAUCAUGGAUGAAUUUCUAUUGUGGAAGGCAGAAAUGGGAAACAAGACGGGAGGAAUGGAUGCUAUGUGGGCUCAACAACCAGGAAAUUCAAGGAUGGCAGGGGCAUUGCUGGUGGAGACGGUGGAGCUGAAAAUGUCAAUUCUCUGCUAUGGUCAUAUGUACUUGACUACUUGUGCAGCAAGAAAGCUUGAGAACUUGUCAACGAUAGAGGUUCGGUGUGUGGAGUACAAACUGAUUACAUUGGUUGUUCUGCAGGUAUCUGGAGUUCUCUUCGGUUUGCUGAGGUCUACUCCUCCUUGCCGUUGUGCUCCACAUCUCUCCAAGAAGACAUUGCGUCAUGACGGCGAGGGUGCUCACCCAACCGUGGUCGUCGGCAGGGAGAGGCCCCUAGGAAGUCCCACCGCCACUGGGAAGCCCCCCUCCCACUGGUUCCCUUCCCUCUCCCCUCUUGGCCCAAGUGUAUCACUUAAGAGGGGAACUCACGGCUGCCAUCCUGUAACACCCCUCCUCAAACUGUACUCCUUCCACCAUCGGGAGCUCCACGACCGCUCUCCGAGAAACACAACCGCCUGUGAGGGCGACCAUGCGAAGGAGUUGGCGCUUAUUAGGUUUAGUGAGGUGGAUCACGGCUGUGUCUGGUGCAUCGGCAUCAGAUCGACACCAUCUUCUACUGCAGUUCUCUCCCCGUGCCUUGGCAGCAGAUCCAGGUGGGAAGAGGAUGAUUCCUUCCCCGAACUAGGUGCUAGUGAAGAAACUUGUGCAGCCCAGCAAAACUACCACCGAUGCACUCCUCCUGAGACCAUCAGGCUGGUACAAUCAGUUAGAAAGAGCAAGCCUUGUAUCAGUCUGUUUGUGGUAGAAAAACUUGGAGGCAUACUAACUGAUUGA
rnacentral:rRNA from 1 species